rnacentral:rRNA from 1 species
GAUAAACGCUGGCGGCGUGCCUAAUACAUGCAAGUCGAGCGAACGGACGAGAAGCUUGCUUCUCUGAUGUUAGCGGCGGACGGGUGAGUAACACGUGGAUAACCUACCUAUAAGACUGGGAUAACCUCGGGAAACCGGAGCUAAUACCGGAUAAUAUUUUGAACCGCAUGGUUCAAAAGUGAAAGACGGUCUUGCUGUCACUUAUAGAUGGAUCCGCGCUGCAUUAGCUAGUUGGUAAGGUAACGGCUUACCAAGGCAACGAUGCAUAGCCGACCUGAGAGGGUGAUCGGCCACACUGGAACUGAGACACGGUCCAGACUCCUACGGGAGGCAGCAGUAGGGAAUCUUCCGCGAUGGGCGAAAGCCUGACGGAGCAACGCCGCGUGAGUGAUGAAGGUCUUCGGAUCGUAAAACUCUGUUAUUAGGGAAGAACAUAUGUGUAAGUAACUGUGCACAUCUUGACGGUACCUAAUCAGAAAGCCACGGCUAACUACGUGCCAGCAGCCGCGGUAAUACGUAGGUGGCAAGCGUUAUCCGGAAUUAUUGGGCGUAAAGCGCGCGUAGGCGGUUUUUUAAGUCUGAUGUGAAAGCCCACGGCUCAACCGUGGAGGGUCAUUGGAAACUGGAAAACUUGAGUGCAGAAGAGGAAAGUGGAAUUCCAUGUGUAGCGGUGAAAUGCGCAGAGAUAUGGAGGAACACCAGUGGCGAAGGCGACUUUCUGGUCUGUAACUGACGCUGAUGUGCGAAAGCGUGGGGAUCAAACAGGAUUAGAUACCCUGGUAGUCCACGCCGUAAACGAUGAGUGCUAAGUGUUAGGGGGUUUCCGCCCCUUAGUGCUGCAGCUAACGCAUUAAGCACUCCGCCUGGGGAGUACGACCGCAAGGUUGAAACUCAAAGGAAUUGACGGGGACCCGCACAAGCGGUGGAGCAUGUGGUUUAAUUCGAAGCAACGCGAAGAACCUUACCAAAUCUUGACAUCCUUUGACAACUCUAGAGAUAGAGCCUUCCCCUUCGGGGGACAAAGUGACAGGUGGUGCAUGGUUGUCGUCAGCUCGUGUCGUGAGAUGUUGGGUUAAGUCCCGCAACGAGCGCAACCCUUAAGCUUAGUUGCCAUCAUUAAGUUGGGCACUCUAAGUUGACUGCCGGUGACAAACCGGAGGAAGGUGGGGAUGACGUCAAAUCAUCAUGCCCCUUAUGAUUUGGGCUACACACGUGCUACAAUGGACAAUACAAAGGGCAGCGAAACCGCGAGGUCAAGCAAAUCCCAUAAAGUUGUUCUCAGUUCGGAUUGUAGUCUGCAACUCGACUACAUGAAGCUGGAAUCGCUAGUAAUCGUAGAUCAGCAUGCUACGGUGAAUACGUUCCCGGGUCU